UACGAAGGGGGCUAGCGUUGUUCGGAGUUACUGGGCGUAAAGCGCACGUAGGCGGCUUUGUAAGUUAGAGGUGAAAGCCUGGUGCUCAACACCAGAACUGCCUUUAAGACUGCAUCGCUUGAAUCAUGGAGAGGCGGGUGGAAUUCCGAGUGUAGAGGUGAAAUUCGUAGAUAUUCGGAAGAACACCAGUGGCGAAGGCGGCCCGCUGGACAUGUAUUGACGCUGAGGUGCGAAAGCGUGGGGAGCAAACAGG
rnacentral:rRNA from 1 species